GAUGAAGAACGUAGCGAAAUGCGAUAAGUAGUGUGAAUUGCAGAAUUCAGUGAAUCAUCGAAUCUUUGAACGCACAUUGCGCCACUUGGUAUCCCGAGGGGCAUGCCUGUUCGAGCGUCAUUUCACCACUCAAGCCUGGCUUGGUGUUGGGCGACGUCCCCUUUGGGGACGCGCCUCGAAACGCUCGGCGGCGUGGCACCGGCUUUAAGCGUAGCAGAAUCUUUCGCUUUGGAAGUCGGGGCCCCGUCUGCCGGAAGACCUACUCGCAAGGUUGACCUCGGAUCAGGCAGGGAUACCCGCUGAACUUAAGCAUAUCAAUAAGCGGAGGA
rnacentral:misc_RNA from 1 species